rnacentral:sRNA from 1 species
AACGUAGCGCCAUACCCGAGCAGCAGGUGCAAGGAGGCAGCAUGUUCCUAGAUGUGGUGGUUCUCGCCGGUAUCGGCACCGUUGGGCUGAUGAUUCUGUUUGGUAUCGGGUUCACGUAUUUCGUCUGGAAGGAUGCGAGCAAGAAAAAGCCGCACUGAUCGCCGGACUCACGAGCACGCAAGGCAUUGGGGCGACUUCGGUCGCCCUUUUUUUCG